UCGACUAACACUCCAAUAUUACUGUGCCAGGUUUGGUUUCAAAACCGUCGAGCUAAAUGGAGGAGAAAUGCCAACAGUCAAAACUUGAGUGAAGUAACCAACAACAGUAAGAUACCGCCAGACAUUUCUCCAACAGAAAAGCUGAGCAGUAAAUCCUCUCUUCCUAGUUCAGUGCCUCACAUGAAGGAGAAAAAGUCUAAAUGCCAAGAAAUCUUGCAAGACUUGAAAUAUAUUCAGUCUUCUGCUCACAGACCCUGGGUUACUCCUCUUUUAAAACCAUACAGUUGUCCUAAAUUUGAGGGGUCAAGGUCCAACCCACAGACUACGUCAUCAGUCGUCUGCUUGAGGAAUCCUCCAACCAAUGACGGUUGACUGAAACAUCUCAAUACAAAUGUUAUACAACAACAAGAACAGCAACACGCUGUUAUGUCUACA
rnacentral:sRNA from 1 species